GAUAACAGGCUGAUGACUCCCAAGAGCUCUUAUCGUUGGAGUCAUUUGGCACCUCGAUGUCGACUCAUCACAUCCUGGGGUUGAAGAAGGUCCCAAGGGUUCGGUUGUUCGCCGUUCACUUUGUUCUUUCUCUUCCCUUCUCCCGUUAGCUU
rnacentral:ncRNA from 1 species